rnacentral:rRNA from 1 species
UGGGGAAUAUUGCACAAUGGGGGAAACCCUGAUGCAGCGACGCCGCGUGAGCGAAGAAGUAUUUCGGUAUGUAAAGCUCUAUCAGCAGGGAAGAAGAAAUGACGGUACCUGACUAAGAAGCACCGGCUAAAUACGUGCCAGCAGCCGCGGUAAUACGUAUGGUGCAAGCGUUAUCCGGAUUUACUGGGUGUAAAGGGAGCGCAGGCGGUACGGCAAGUCUGAUGUGAAAGCCCGAAGCUUAACUUCGGCGAGCCGUGGAAACCGAGCAGCUAGAGUGCAGUAGAGGAUCGUGGAAUUCCAUGUGUAGCGGUGAAAUGCGUAGAUAUAUGGAGGAACACCAGUGGCGAAGGCGACGAUCUGGGCUGCAACUGACGCUCAGUCCCGAAAGCGUGGGGAGCAAACAGGAUUAGAUACCCUAGUAGUCCACGCCGUAAACGAUGAGUACUAAGUGUUGGGAGUCAAAUCUCAGUGCUGCAGUUAACGCAAUAAGUACUCCGCCUGAGUAGUACGUUCGCAAGAAUGAAACUCAAAGGAAUUGACGGGGGCCCGCACAAGCGGUGGAGCAUGUGGUUUAAUUCGAAGCAACGCGAAGAACCUUACCAGGUCUUGACAUCGAUCUAAAGGAUCCAGAGAUGGAUAGAUAGUUAUAGAGAAGACAGGUGGUGCAUGGUUGUCGUCAGCUCGUGUCGUGAGAUGUUGGGUUAAGUCCCGCAACGAGCGCAACCCUUGUCGUUAGUUACCAGCAGUAAGAUGGGGACUCUAGCGAGACUGCCUCUGUAAGGAGGAGGAAGGCGGGGAUGACGUCAAAUCAUCAUGCCCCUUAUGACCUGGGCUACACACGUGCUACAAUGGACGGAUCAAAGGGAAGCGAAGCCGCGAGGUGGAGCGAAACUCAAAAACCCGUUCUCAGUUCGGACUGCAGUCUGCAACUCGACUGCACGAAGUUGGAAUCGCUAGUAAUCGCGAAUCAGCAUGUCGCGGUGAAUACGUUCUC